AUGGCAAAGUACUGGUGGUCGAGUUCGAUUGAUAAAAGGGCUCUCCACUGGCUGUCUUGGGACAAACUGGCGUCACCAAAAAUCAAGGGCGGGAUGGGUUUCAAGGAUCUUCCACUAUUCAAUCUAGCUAUGCUUGGCAAGCAAGGGUGGCGUCUUCUGACACAUCCAAACUCCCUUUGUGCUCGUGUGCUGAAGGGGAAGUACUACCCCAACAUAGAUUUUCUUCAUGCUACUGUUCCGGCAAUGGCCUCGAUGACGUGGAAGGCCAUUGUGGCGGGCAGAGAAGCAUUGAAGCAGGGGCUGAUCCAUAGGAUAGGCGACGGCAUAAGUAUAUCAACUUGGACUGAUCCAUGGAUACCCAAUACUACAACUCUGGAACCUAGGGGACGACUGGGGUCUGCACCAUUAUCGCAUGUUUCAGAUUUGAUAGAUCAAUAUACAGGAACGUGGAACAUUGAACUAGUAUGGCAAAAUUUUCUCCAUCCAGAUGCAUUCUCAACAUCCCUUUGA
rnacentral:rRNA from 1 species